rnacentral:rRNA from 1 species
GUCUAUGGCCAUACCACCCUGAACGUGCUGACUCUCGUCUGAUCUCAGAAGCUUAGCAGGCUCAGGCCUGGUUAGUAUUGGAUGGAAGAAAGAUCUUCAGAAGAGACAGCUCAGAGACA